AUUGAACGCUGGCGGCAUGCUUUACACAUGCAAGUCGAACGGUAACAGGCCGCAAGGUGCUGACGAGUGGCGAACGGGUGAGUAAUGCAUCGGAACGUGCCCAGUCGUGGGGGAUAACGCAGCGAAAGCUGUGCUAAUACCGCAUACGAUCUAUGGAUGAAAGCGGGGGACCGUAAGGCCUCGCGCGAUUGGAGCGGCCGAUGUCAGAUUAGGUAGUUGGUGGGGUAAAGGCCUACCAAGCCAACGAUCUGUAGCUGGUCUGAGAGGACGACCGGCCACACUGGGACUGAGACACGGACCAGACUCCUACGGGAGGCAGCAGUGGGGAAUUUUGGACAAUGGGCGCAAGCCUGAUCCAGCAAUGCCGCGUGCAGGAAGAAGGCCUUCGGGUUGUAAACUGCUUUUGUACGGAACGAAACGGUCUGGGUUAAUACCCUGGGCUAAUGACGGUACCGUAAGAAUAAGCACCGGCUAACUACGUGCCAGCAGCCGCCGUAACAC
rnacentral:rRNA from 1 species